rnacentral:rRNA from 1 species
GACGAACGCUGGCGGCGUGCUUAACACAUGCAAGUCGAACGGAAAGGCCCUGCUCUUGUGGGGUGCUCGAGUGGCGAACGGGUGAGUAACACGUGAGUAACCUGCCCUUGACUUUGGGAUAACUUCAGGAAACUGGGGCUAAUAUAGGAUAGGAGCUCCUGCUGCAUGGUGGGGGUUGGAAAGUUACGGUGGUUGGGGAUGGACUGGCGGCUCAUCAGUUUGUUGGUGGGGUAGUGGCGUACCAAUGCUCUGACGGGUAGCCGGCCUGAGAGGGUGACCGGCCACAUUGGGACUCGGAUACGGGCCAUAGUCAUACGGGGGGCAUGAGUGAGGAAUUUUGCGCAAUGGGCGGAAGCCGGAAGCAGCAUCGCCGCGUGCUGAAUGACGGCCUUCAGGUUGUAAACCGCUUUCGCGUGGGACGAAGCGUGAGUGACGGUAAUGGGUAAAGAAGCACCGGCUAACUACGUG